rnacentral:rRNA from 1 species
UACGUAGGGCGCAAGCGUUAUCCGGAAUUAUUGGGCGUAAAGAGCUCGUAGGUGGUUUGUCGCGUUGUUCGUGAAAACUCACAGCUCAACUGUGGGCGUGCGGGCGAUACGGGCAGACUGGAGUACUGCAGGGGAGACUGGAAUUCCUGGUGUAGCGGUGGAAUGCGCAGAUAUCAGGAGGAACACCGGUGGCGAAGGCGGGUCUCUGGGCAACUACUGACGCUGAGGAGCGAAAGCGUGGGGAGCGAACAGG